GCGACGUCCCGUUUAGGAGCUGCAUGGCAUACGGAACCGACUCCUCGUGUUUGUAGACUGCAAAACCAAACGUUUUCUGUUUGCCAUCGCCAUCUUUUGGGAUUUUGGUUUUGAUGAGAGGUCCUGCCUGCUGAGAGAGAUUGCAUCAAUAGCCACCAAGCUUAUAGUGUCACCGAGUUUCAUCACCGGGACAUCAGCAGUAAUCGUCAACAACUACAGAGACACUGGAAGAGUCACAGAAAGAUGGACUGUACUACAGCGGUGAACAAGUUAAAAGCUCCCAUGCAGAGGCACGCCAGAAAGUUUUGCUCCAACAACCAGACCUCCCCCGAGGAGUCUCCCCUAGGGAGGAAGUCGAAGGGAAAGGACUGUCGUUUUACCUGAAAUGGCCGCACGCCCCCGAGCAAACAUCCAACGGCUGUAAGAUGGUCUCACUGGGAGGAACCAGAUGAGGUGGUUGGGGCAUCUGAUCCGGAUGCCUCCCGGACUACUCCCUGGUGAGGUUUUCCAGGCAUAUCCCACUGGAAUGAGACCUCGUGGACGACCCAGGACAGGCGCAUCUCUGAGGAUGCCUCGUGGACAGAUGUCCAGGGAUUACCCCCAUCCCAGCGGAGAGACAAAGGCUCUGUUUUUGUUUUUGAGUUUGCUUUACUCGCUGGAAAACGUCGGGUAUUUUUAGAAUGGAAGCGGAAUGAACAGCUGAACGAGCGGGCCGCACAGAACGUGCAUCAGCACGCUGGAGGUCCUGCGUUCUGACAGCAGGUGACGUCCCGUCCCUCCCUCCGGGCCUGCCUGCUGCAGUGUGGCACGAAUUGAUCUUCUUCCAGCUUGCGCUUGUUCGGUUUGAAUCUGAAUCAAGUAAGACAGUCAAACACAUUGUAAUACUCGUGUAAUAAAGCAACAUUUACACUUAAUGUUAAUGAUAUCCUUUGUUGUGGGAUUAUGGCUAGGUUUGGGCUUUAUUAUAAGGUUAUUACAAUAAUAUUCAUGUAUAAACUCAGUUAUGGAGCACUAGGCAUCUAGUGCAUUCCAGGUGAAGCAUUUAUUGGGGACACAUUUAUUUGUACAUAGUUGUAUGUAUUCCAACACUGUUUCUGGUCCCUCACUGUUGAAAUACUGGGUCCGGUUGUACCAAAUCCUUGAAAUUGCCACAAAUGUGUAAUGACAAGUCCUACACUAGGGACCACAUCUGCUUUGUAAACACACGGGGCCAAGUUAUGGAUUGAACUUUAUUUCAUUUCACUUUUUGUACCUCUACUUACAAAAUUAUUCUGUUCCAAAAGUCGUUUUGUAAUGUGAAUGUUUCGUAAGUCGAAGUGCAUUUUACAUGUAAAUAGUGUAAUCCGUUCCAUUGCCCACAACCCCACUCCCAAAAAUAAGCAUUCAAAGUACAUGAAAGGAAUGCUUAUGGAACAGAAACCCAGUAGAGCUCUGAGAUCGACCGACUCGGAUCAAAUAGUGGAGCGCAGAGUCCAAGGCAAAGAUGGUGAAGCAGCAUUUAGCUAUUAUGCUGCUCACAAAUGGAAUAAAUUAGCAACAGAAGUGAAGUCAACCCCAAAUGUGAUUGUUUUUAAAUCCAGAUUGAAAAGUCUUUUUAUUUUUGUCAUUU